rfam:Oryza barthii chromosome 1, whole genome shotgun sequence.
AAAGACUCAAUUUUUAGGUUUUGGCAUUCAACGUUUGACCGUCCGUCUUAUAUAAAAUUUUUUUAUGAUUAAUAUUUUUAUUAUUGUUAGAUGAUAAAACAUAAAUAAUACUUUAUGAAUGAGUUAUCUUUUUAAUUUUUUUCAUAAUUUUUUCAAAUAAGACGAACGGUCCAACGUUAGACACGGAAACCCAGGAAUUGAGUUUUU